rnacentral:rRNA from 1 species
AUUGAACGCUGGCGGCAAGCCUAACACAUGCAAGUCGAACGAGUGGCGGACGGGUGAGUAAUGUCUGGGAAACUGCCUCAUGGAGGGGGAUAACUACUGGAAACGGUAUCUAAUACCGCCUACCAUCGGAUGUGCCCAGAUGGGAUUAGCUAGUAGGUGGGGUAAAGGCUCACCAAGGCGACGAUCCCUAGCUGGCCUGAGAGGAUGACCAGCCACACUGGAACUGAGACACGGUCCAGACUCCUACGGGAGGCAGCAGUGGGGAAUCUUGGACAAUGGGCGCAAGCCUGAGAGAGCCAGGCCGCGUGUGUGAAGAAGGCCUUCGGGUUGUAAAGUACUGUCAUUAGGGAGGCGUUACCUGAAGAAGAAGCAACGGCUAACUACGUGCCAGCAGCCGCGGUAAUUC